rnacentral:rRNA from 1 species
UACGUAGGGACCAAGCGUUGUCCGGAAUCAUUGGGCGUAAAGAGCGUGUAGGCGGCUUGUUAAGUCUUGCGUGAAAUCUCGGGGCUCAACCCCGAGCGGUCGUGAGAAACUGGCAGGCUAGAGUGCGGGAGAGGAGAGUGGAAUUCCUGGUGUAGCGGUGAAAUGCGCAGAUAUCAGGAAGAACACCCGUGGCGAAGGCGGCUCUCUGGAACGCAACUGACGCUGAGACACGAAAGCGUGGGUAGCAAACAGG